GACGCAUCCGGAAGCGGAAAGAAGCCGAGCCGGAAGCGGAAGAGGCCGCGCCGGAAGCCGGGGCCGGGCGGAGGCUCGGGGGGAGCCGCCCGUGCUCCCCCCCCUCCCGGCGCCGUUGGAUCCCGUUGAUGGCGGCGGGUCCCGCGGCCUCAUGGAGCUGAGGGGCCACAUCCUGCCCCCGGGCUCCCACAGCCCCGCAGGGCCCCCCCCGGGGCGGCUGCAGGAGCUGCGGGAGCGGCAGCGCGGCCUCAGACACGCGCUGGGGCUGAGGAUCAGGGAGCUCCGGAGGGUCUGUCUGCAGGAGGCCGUGAGUUAAUAUGGGACCCUAUAGAUCCCUAUGGGACCCUAUAAAUCCCUAUAGACCCCAUAGACCCUAUAGAGCCCUAUAGACCCCAUAGAGCUCCGGAGGGUCUGUCUGCAGGAGGCCGUGAGUUAAUAUGGGACCCUAUGGGAACCUAUAGAACCCUAUAGAACCCUAUGGAACCCUAUAGACCCCAUAGAGCCCUAUAGACCCCAUAGAGCUCCGGAGGGUCUGUCUGCAGGAGGCCGUGAGU